AUAGCUAUGAGAUCUGAGGGA
rnacentral:miRNA from 1 species